rnacentral:rRNA from 1 species
GAUGAACGCUGGCGGCGUGCUUAAUACAUGCAAGUCGAGCGGACAGGCCCGGCUCUUGUGGGUCGCUCGUGAGCCGCACGGGUGUGUGUCACGCGUGUAACACGUCCCUGUCAUUGUGGUAACACUUGGGGACAGCGGAUCUUAUCGCGUAGGAGCUCCUGCUCCGUGGUGUUGGAUAGUGAGUUUCGGCGGUUUGGGCUCGACUCGCGGCUUCUGAGCUUCUUGGUGGGGUAGUGGCUUACCAAGGCUUUGACGGGUAGCCGGCCUGGGAGGGUGACCGGCGACCAUGGGACUGAGAGACGGCCCAGACUGCAACGGGAGGCAGCAGUGGGGAGUAUUGCGGAAUGGGCGGGAGCCAGAUGCAGCAACGCCGCGUGCGGGAUGACGGCCUUCGAGUUGAAAACCGCUGUGGCCUGUAACGAGGAGUGAGUGACGGUAAUGGGUAAGGAAGCACCGGCUAACUACGUG